rnacentral:lncRNA from 1 species
GUCCAAUUUAGUUCCUGAUAAAAUUAAAAUUAGUUCAGGACAAAUUAGUUGUUGACUUAUUAUAAUAGAGUGACUAAAUUAGACCGUGAGAAAAUUGUGAAGGACCAAAUUGAGUCUUCACUCAAUCCUUAAAAUUAAAAUAUAUGAAAUAGACAUGUUUAUUUUAUCCCACUCGCCAUUAUUAUAAAGACGUCAACCAAUAUUAGAUUGGCUGAAUGAACCAGACUUGAAUUCCUUAAAUAAGGUUUUGACUACAAGGUUUGUUAACGAAAAAAAUAUGGUUGGAAGGAGAGACUUCGUGGAAGGUGGCCAACCAAAUUCUCCAGACCAUUCAUAAAAACAAAGAUCUUGUGCAACAUUAAUUCUAUUAUUUCUUAUCACAAAAUUUAUCCUUGAAUAUCCAGUUACAUAUAACAUAGGAACAUCAUUUGGACCCAUCAACAAAAAAUUACUAGAAAACUGAAAGAAAGUAGUAGAGUUUGGAAUACAUUUGUUCAAAAGGCUGAACCAUGAAAUCAAAUGUCAAAGGAUGUGAAUCAAACAUCAAACAUGAAUACUGAUUAAAGGAAAAUACAUGAUCUGUUCUUCUUUCUUUUUUUCUUUUGCUUAGGAGGCUGCAAAACAACCUUGAUUGCAGCAUCAAACACAGCCUUCACAUUCUGAAAUAUUGCAAUAAACACAUAAAAUUAGUACAAGAUUAAUAGUGUGCUUGUGUUAGAUCUUUUUUUCUAAUUCUAAUUAAUUUAAAAUAACCAUAAGUUUAUAACUAUAUAUGAAUUAAAA